ACUACUAAUACUGCUGCUACUACUACCAGUACUAUUACUAUUAUUUGAUAUUUUGUGUUGUUAGGGCAUUCUUUAAGCACUAAGCAUGGCUUGGUUACACAACUACAGAUCAGAUAAGAUUUUUACAAGAUAAAUAAUUUUGUUGCUUCUUCCUCUCAACCUGCAAGAAGAAAACUCAGCACAACUGUUCACUUCUCACACCAGAGCUAAACCUCUCUCAUCUCAGCACAGCUGCAGAUCCACCGCUCUACACUGUGAGAAUGAACCCCAAAACAUUUCUGUGUUUAACAGCACUCCUGUUCCUGUCUGUUCAUCUCUGUUGUGGAGGAGAUAAAGCCCCCAAGAAGGUAAGAUUUAAAGUGUAACUUACUGUAUAAAAUAUAUCAGAAAUGUUAAAAGUGAAUAAAGAAAAAAUAACCAUACGUGAUGACUUUUGUUGUUUUCUUAAGCAAACUGCUCAGCCAUCGGGUAAAGCUGUGUGGGAACCUGGACGCACAGUUCUAAUGGCCAGUCCUCUUAUACGUUCAGUGAGUUAAUUUUCUUUUUUUUUAAUUUAUAAAUUUGGCUAAAUAUUGAGAUGUUAAAAAAUAUUGAUAUAUUUUCAUAUGAGAUAUAAGAUGAGACAAUAUUGUUUAUAUCGAUAUAGACUAUACUGCAUUACAGUGAGCUCUGUCAGUUUUCCCCGUGUCUCUGGAUGGCAUCAUGGUAUAGAAG
rnacentral:lncRNA from 1 species